rnacentral:rRNA from 1 species
AUAAGUAAUGUGAAUUGCAGAAUUCAGUGAAUCAUCGAAUCUUUGAACGCACAUUGCGCCCGCCAGUAUUCUGGCGGGCAUGCCUGUUCGAGCGUCAUUUCAACCCUCAAGCACAGCUUGGUGUUGGGACUCGCGUUAAUUCGCGUUCCUCAAAUUGAUUGGCGGUCACGUCGAGCUUCCAUAGCGUAGUAGUAAAACCCUCGUUACUGGUAAUCGUCGCGGCCACGCCGUUAAACCCCAACUUCUGAAUGUUGACCUCGGAUCAGGUAGGAAUACCCGCUGAACUUAAGCAUAUCAAUAAGCGGAGGA